rnacentral:rRNA from 1 species
AUUGAACGCUGGCGGCAGGCCUAACACAUGCAAGUCGAGCGGAUGAAGGGAGCUUGCUCCUGGAUUCAGCGGCGGACGGGUGAGUAAUGCCUAGGAAUCUGCCUGGUAGUGGGGGAUAACGUCCGGAAACGGGCGCUAAUACCGCAUACGUCCUGAGGGAGAAAGUGGGGGAUCUUCGGACCUCACGCUAUCAGAUGAGCCUAGGUCGGAUUAGCUAGUUGGGGGGGUAAAGGCCUACCAAGGCGGCGAUCCGUAACUGGUCUGAGAGGAUGAUCAGUCACACUGGAACUGAGACAGGGUCCAGACUCCUACGGGAGGCAGCAGUGGGGAAUAUUGGACAAUGGGCGAAAGCCUGAUCCAGCCAUGCCGAGUGUGUGAAGAAGGUCUUCGGAUUGUAAAGCACUUUAAGUUGGGAGGAAGGGCAGUAAGUUAAUACCUUGCUGUUUUGACGUUACCAACAGAAUAAGCACCGGCUAACUUCGUG